rnacentral:rRNA from 1 species
UUGAUCCUGGCUCASSAUGAACGCUGGCGGCGUGCUUAACACAUGCAAGUCGAACGAUGAUGCCAGCUUGCUGGUGGAUUAGUGGCGAACGGGUGAGUAACACGUGAGUAACCUGCCCUUAACUYUGGGAUAAGCCUGGGAAACUGGGUCUAAUACCGGAUAUGACUYCUCAUCGCAUGGUGGGGGGUGGAAAGCUUUUUUGUGGUUUUGGAUGGACUCGCGGCCUAUCAGCUUGUUGGUGAGGUAAUGGCUUACCAAGGCGACGACGGGUAGCCGGCCUGAGAGGGUGACCGGCCACACUGGGACUGAGACACGGCCCAGACUCCUACGGGAGGCAGCAGUGGGGAAUAUUGCACAAUGGGCGCAAGCCUGAUGCAGCGACGCCGCGUGAGGGAUGACGGCCUUCGGGUUGUAAACCUCUUUCAGUAGGGAAGAAGCGAGAGUGACGGUACCUGCAGAAGAAGCGCCGGCUAACUACGUGCCAGCAGCCGCGGUAAUACGUAGGGCGCAAGCGUUAUCCGGAAUUAUUGGGCGUAAAGAGCUCGUAGGCGGUUUGUCGCGUCUGCCGUGAAAGUCCGGGGCUCAACUCCGGAUCUGCGGUGGGUACGGGCAGACUAGAGUGAUGUAGGGGAGACUGGAAUUCCUGGUGUAGCGGUGAAAUGCGCAGAUAUCAGGAGGAACACCGAUGGCGAAGGCAGGUCUCUGGGCAUUAACUGACGCUGAGGAGCGAAAGCAUGGGGAGCGAACAGGAUUAGAUACCCUGGUAGUCCAUGCCGUAAACGUUGGGCACUAGGUGUGGGGGACAUUCCACGUUUUCCGCGCCGUAGCUAACGCAUUAAGUGCCCCGCCUGGGGAGUACGGCCGCAAGGCUAAAACUCAAAGGAAUUGACGGGGGCCCGCACAAGCGGCGGAGCAUGCGGAUUAAUUCGAUGCAACGCGAAGAACCUUACCAAGGCUUGACAUGAACCGGUAAUACCUGGAGACAGGUGCCCCGCUUGCGGCCGGUUUACAGGUGGUGCAUGGUUGUCGUCAGCUCGUGUCGUGAGAUGUUGGGUUAAGUCCCGCAACGAGCGCAACCCUCGUUCUAUGUUGCCAGCACGUGAUGGUGGGGACUCAUAGGSAGACUGCCGGGGUCAACUCGGAGGAAGGUGGRGACGACGUCMAAUCAUCAUGCCCCUUAUGUCUUGGGCUUCACGCAUGCUACAWU